UACAGAGACUGCAAGCGUUAUUCGGAUUCACUGGGCGUAAAGGGUGCGCGGGCGGCUGAAUGUGUCAGGUGUGAAAGCCUGGGGCUCAACCCCAGAAUUGCGCCUGAAACUGUUCAGCUAGAGUGCCGGAGAGGAUAGCGGAAUUCACGGUGUAGCAGUGAAAUGCGUAGAUAUCGUGAAGAACACCAGCGGCGAAGGCGGCUAUCUGGAAGGCGACUGACGCUCAGGCACGAAAGCGUGGGGAG
rnacentral:rRNA from 1 species